rnacentral:rRNA from 1 species
AUGGCGCCGCCACCUAUCUCAAGCGUGCAGAGCCACAAAAUAGGAUUUAGGGGCGAAGGAGGCGCGUCGGACUGGGCAGCGGCGGCUGCAUCAAGCUCCUGUGAUGCAUCUAUCUCUGUUAAGCAUCCAGUCGAAGCGCAUAGCCCGCCUGCACCAUCCGCGAGAGAGAUGGCAAGCUCGUCACCCGGGAAGCGGACGCACGAGCAGAUCGAGCCAAAGGGUUGGAAGAGGAGGAGGUGGCGUGUCUGGGUGGAGACUAUGCCUGAUGAGAGGGGAGGCGUCCAGACUCGAGACGAGGAUGUUGACAUGAGGGUCGAUGCGUAUUGCGAAGUUGCCUUCGUAGGGAAGGAAACAUCAAUUCAGGCCCGAACCUCGGUACCGAGCUACUCCGACACCUCCCGCACGCGACACCCUCAGCCCCCUCGCUCACCAGCCCCGCGCCGCCAGCCCCGGCCAACCCCAGCUCCGGUGACCCCCAGCCCCCGCGCUCUUAGCCCCGGCGACCCCCAUCCCUAUACCAUCGUCGAUCCCGCGAACCAUCUCCGCUCCAGGGGCGGCUCACCACCUCCUCCCGCCGUCCGGCGCCUCGAGCCUCCCUCCUUCUGCCGUCACCCCCAAGCCCCCGUGAUUUCCUGGAGGUGCUCCGCUCGCUGCCGCUCGAACUUGAACUUGCUGCUCCUUCAUCCCCGCAAGACCGCUCCUCCUGCCAUCCUCGCCCACGAGCUCGUUGUGCUGCACAUGCUCCAAACAACCUCUUCUCUGGUUUCGACUCCCUGUAACACUUGUACCGAUGCAUCUUCUUCGCUAUCAGUUCAAGUGAUCAAAAUGCCCAAAUACGGAGGCAAGAUAAUUGAUAUUGUGUCAAGAGAUGUUCAUCGGCCAGAGGAUAAGGCCCAAGCCCUGGCGGAUACAGGACUUGUUCAGUCAUCUCAUAAACCAGGCAAGUGGCUUAAUUUUGUUUAUGUCUUCUACAAGGAUGGUCUCAUACCCUGCCUGCUUCCCCUCCUCACCUCUACCUCAUUGUGGUUCGUUGCUAAGAAAAAGAACGACCGCGUACAGUUCCCGUUGGUUGCCUUGCUGCCCUGGGGCGCGAGCUCAUCCACCAGGGGUGUUGGCAGCUGUCCAAGUGGAGCGUUGACGCCAGUACAAGUAGAAUCGUGGGUUGCGGCCACCAUCUUCACCAAGCGCCGCACAUCCGUCCAAGUCGAGCACACACACAGGGAGAACACACCAGCCCCUUUGCUUUGCACAUUGCUUGGUUAUGCAUGA